rnacentral:misc_RNA from 1 species
AGAUCACAUGAAGAAACUCUUCUUUGAAAAUAAAAAAUUGUGUCCAUGGAAGGACAAUGCAUGCCUUCCAAGUGCCAAAAAGAGGAACAGCAUAAUUUUUUGGCUGAAAUACUUCAGCAAGACGUAUAUAUCAUGGCUAACUUUUCAUCUUACGAAACUUGAUCCUGCUUGCCACUUGAUUCAGAUGUCGUCACGACAGGAGGUUUAGCUAGACCAGUUUGCGCUGGAGGAGCUGUCAGUGCAUAUGUCAACCUGGAUGACGAAUUUUCAAUCAAACCAGCAACUCCAGCAGCUGCAGAUUGGGCAUUUGACGGGAGAAAUAAAUCAUGUCUCUGAUCUUUAUAAGCACUCCAAACAUCGGAAGCAUUAAGUAUCUCACGAACUUUAGUACAAUGGGCCCCUUCUGCGGCAAAAGCAUGCAAAACCUCAACUGCAAGCACCCUGCCAAUGGAUGCUUCAGACUCAUUCCACUGCAUCUGGGAGUGAAGUCCAUUUCUUCCUCCAGCCCUCCAAUCAAGAAGGCCCAGGAGUACUUCAACAAGUCCCACCUUGAGUCCCUGCGCAACCAACGCAUCCCUAGCCCGGUUUCCAGCAACGACUACACGUUUUAAUGUUUCAAGAGCUAGAAUACUUCCACCUUGCCAUCCAAUAGCUUUCAUCAGAAGGGGAACAACCUGGGGUGUCCCAACACUAGUAGCUGCCAUAGCUUCAGCGCACGUUGUACUUCCUGCAAGUUGAUGCAGAACACGCAAACAACUUAGACGCACACGCUCUUGUAGCGUUGGUGAAGGGGGCUGCUUUGAGCUACUAUCAGCUUCAUAUUCUUCCUUGGAGUAGUCAACAUUUUUCACUUCCCCGAUGGCCAUUGUUUCUCUUCUCCCUUCAUAUGCCACCGCAGACACAAGUUUUGGUACAUAUCCUAAAAAUCCAACAUGAUCUGCAAGAGUAGGGUGCACACGUAAUAAUGACACCAGAGCAGCAGAUAGAAGAAGAGGAAGUUCAGGGUCAACAGAUUGGACAUCAUAAUGUGUGGCAGCGAUUGAUGAAAGAUACUGAUCCAAUAGACCUUCCAAAAACCGCUUCGGAUUUCUAAGAGGAAACUUUGGAUCUUUUAAGAAUAAUCUAACGUAGAUUCCACCAACCUGAGGCUCAUCUCUCAUUUCCUGUUGGCCAGUUGCUUGCUCAGGUACAUCCCAAUCAACAACACUGCCUUUCAUCUGUUCACGGUACAGUUCUGAUGCCAUGGUCGCAAUUUGAGCAGACAAAGAAGCAGCCAUUGCUGGAGUCCACACGAGUUCUGGAGUCUCUGUCGUUUGUUCAAGAAUGCUCACAACAGCUUCACCAGGACCAUCCUUGAUGACAGAUACCAAGCCAUCAGGAAGAAACCUAGCCAGAGUAAUAGCAACUCUAGGUCCAUGCAUUGGUUGCCCAACAAGUUUUCCCAACAAUGAUGCAGCUGCUGCUCUUUGCUGCAGAGGAACUUCUCGCAAAGGCAGGAGAAGUUCGAGAAUGUAGACCACUCCACCA